UGCGCGCUAACCUAGAACC
rnacentral:snRNA from 1 species